AAAUGUCUCACUUGAACCUAAACUAACAGAUAUUCGCUGCGUACCUUUGUAGAACCUCUGGCCACAGAGCAAAGAAUUCAGAAGCACCCAUAGGUGAUGCACACUUUAGAUUCAUCGGAGAGCUCCGUUGUUCCACUGAGGUGUACCAUUUGGGAUUUUGUUGAUUUGAGUCCUACAGCUGAUUCUGACAAGAGGCUCUGGUCUUCUCCCUCAUGAGAUGGAUCACGUGAGAGCUUGUGCUGAAUUUGAAACUCACGUUCAUGUUUUCCACUAGCUGGCUGUAGUAACACUCACAAAAAGAAAAAGUCUGCAACCUUGCUGCAUCAGAAUCCUUGCCUCAGCUCGUUAUUGAUCCACAUGAACUAAUGCAUAUG